GCCCUUGUAGUAUAUUCAUUACUACGGCCUUGUAAACCGGAAAUGGAGUAUUACUCCCCAGGGCA
rnacentral:tRNA from 1 species